UACAAUGCGAGAAAUCGUGAUAAGGGAACCCCGAGUGCCCGUAAAUUCGGGCUGUCCGCCAGUGUAAAUAACUGGUGAAGAAAGGGCCGGGCAAGACCGGUGCCAGCCGCCGCGGUAAUACCGGCGGCUCGAGUGGUGGCCACUAUUACUGGGCUUAAAGCGUCCGUAGCUGGAUUGUUAAGUCUCUUGGGAAAUCCACCGGCUCAACCGAUGGGCGUUCAGGAGAAACUGGCAAUCUAGGGACCGGGAGAGGUGAGAGGUACUCCAGGGGUAGGAGUGAAAUCCUGUAAUCCUUGGGGGACCACCUGUGGCGAAGGCGUCUCACUAGAACGGCUCCGACAGUGAGGGACGAAAGCUGGGGGAGCAAACCGGAUUAGAUACCCGGGUAGUCCCAGCUGUAAACGAUGCGCGUUAGGUGUAUCGGUGACCACGAGUCAUCGAGGUGCCGAAGGGAAACCGUGAAACGUG
rnacentral:rRNA from 1 species